AUUGAACGCUGGCGGCAGGCCUAACACAUGCAAGUCGAGCGGAGCGGCGGACGGGUGAGUAAUGCCUGGGAAUCUGCCUGGUAGUGGGGGAUAACGUCCGGAAACGGGCGCUAAUACCGCAUACUAUCAGAUGAGCCUAGGUCGGAUUAGCUAGGUGGUGGGUGAAAGGCCUACAAAGGCGACGAUCCGUAACUGGUCGGAGAGGUGGAUCAGUCACACUGGAACGGAGACACGGUCCAGACUCCUACGGGAGGCAGCAGUGGGGAAUAUUGGACAAUGGGCGAAAGCCUGAGCCAGUAAUGCCGCGUGGGGGAAGAAGGUCUUCGGAUUGUAAAGCACUUUAAGUUGGGAGGCGUUACCAACAGAAUAAGCACCGGCUAACUUCGUGCCAGCAGCCGCGGUAAUUC
rnacentral:rRNA from 1 species